CGAACUUUGCCCAAAUCUCCCGAAUUUGCCCAAAAUCGCCGAAAAUUCCCCCAAAAUUGCCCCGAAUUCCCUUCCCCCCCCUACCUGCGCCAUGGCCCCGCUGCUGCCCCCCCCCGGGUUUGGGGGAAUUUCCCGGGAAUUUGGGGAGGCCCCGCCCCCCUGGGGUGGGGGAGGGGGAGGGGCGAUGGCCGGAAAGGGAGGAGCCAAAAAAACCCGGGAAUUUUUGGGCUGAAAAAUCGGAAAUUUGAGGGGUUUAAAAAAAAAGGGAUUUUUUAGAGGGAAAAUUGGGGAUUUUGGGGGAAAUGAGGGAUGGGGAAUGAAAAAAUGGGAAUUUUACCCGAAAUUCCGAGGUUUUGGCGGGAAAAUCGGGGAUUUUGGGGGAAAUUUGGGGGGAAAUUGGGGAUUUUUUUGGGGAAAAAUCGCGAUUUUGGGGAAAAUCAAAGAGAGGAAUUGGAGUCCUCCGAGCGGGCCAGAGCGGCUCCAACCGGAAGUGGCCACAGAGGGGAAGCGGUAAUGGCGGCGCGGACCGGAAGUUACCAUAGAGAUGAGGCGGGUUCGUUAAGAGAAACGGAAGUCGCGGCUCGGAGCCGGAGAAAACGGUGAAGCAGAAAACAGAGGACCCAAAACGCGGCGGUUUCGCCCCAAAAAGGAGAAAUCGUGACGCAAUCGUGACAUCAAACCGGAUCCUGACGCGGUUUUGGGUCCAAAUUCGCGUUUUUCGGGACAAUUCCCCGGCCCAUCCCGGCUUCACCGCCCACUUCCGGGUGGUGUUGCCGCUUUUCCGUUCCCCCCGCGCUCACUUCCGGUGGCGCCCGCUCCGUUCGCCCCGCGCGUCCCCUCGUGGCCGGACGAUGCCCCCGGCGGCGCGGCCGCGUCCGGGCGAGCGCGCGCGGCAGCGUUUCCGGCGGCUGCGGCGCGCGGCGCGGGCGCUGGUGCUGGAGAACGCGGCGCUGUGCGACGAGCUGGCGCGGCUCGAGGCCAAGUGGGCGCUGGCGCGGGGGCAGCGGCGAUUCCUGCUCGGACGCCUGCUCGGACACCGCCCGGACACUCGGCCACGGCCGCGGAGGCCAAACGGCCUCGGAGGGGGCGGCCGCCGCGGGGAGGGGCCGGGGAGGGAGGGGCGGCGGGAGGGAUGAGCAGUGGUCAGCGGGGCCCAAGAGUGACCAGUGGUCAGCGGGGUCAAAGAGUGACCAGUGGUCAGCGGGGUCGAAGAGUGACCAGUGGUCAGCGGGGCCCAAGGAUGAGCAGUGGUCAGCGGCGGUGAAGAAGGAGCAGUGGUCACCUGGAUCGAAGAGUGACCAGUGGUCAGCGGGCUCAAAGAAUGAGCAGUGGUCAGCAGGGCCGAAGAGUGACCAGUGGUCAGCUGGAGGAGGAGCUGGGGUGAAGGAUGAGCAGUGGUCAGCGGGCUCCAAGAGUGACCAGUGGUCAGCAGGGCCCAAGGAUGACCAAUGGCCAGCAGAGGUCAAGCAGGAGCAGUGGUCACCAAGCUCCAAGAGUGACCAGUGGUCAGCGGUGGUGAAGAUCGAGCAGUGGUCACCCAGCUCCAAGAAUGACCAGUGGUCAUCGGGGCCGAAAGAUGACCAGUGGUCAGCAGGGCUGAAGAAUGACCAGUGGUCAGCGGAGGUGAAGCAGGAGCAAUGGUCACCCAGCUCCAAGAGUGACCAGUGGUCAGCGGGGCCCAAGGAUGACCAGUGGUCAGCGGAGGUGAAGAUCGAGCAGUGGUCACCGAGCUCCAAGAAUGACCAGUGGUCAGUCGGCUCAAGGGAUGACCAAUGGUCCAGCGGCCGCUCUCGGCCGGUGGCCGGAGAUGACCGUGGGCCCAACGGCGCCGCUGACCGCUCGGUGCGGCCGGAGGAGGAGGAGGAGGACGAGGAUGACCCCGAUGACCCCGAUGACCCCGAUGACCACGAUGACCACGAGGAGGACGAGGAGGACGAGGACGAGGAGGAGGAGGAGAGGACGAAGGCUCCGCUCCAGCCUUCGGCUACUCCGGCCUCUUCCUGGGCAGCCCGGCCGGCUCGGACGAGUGACCACCAAUAAAUGACCCCUGGCCGGAGCGGCCGGAGGGCUUUGGUCACUUCACGAUGGGGUUUGGGUGUGAUUGGGGGGGUGGGGUGGCCGAUUGACCACCCCGAUGACCAAUGGGUGCUGACCACCCCAGUGACCACCCCGACGACCGAGUGACCACCCCAGUGACCCCCGAUGACCGAGUGACCACCCCAGUGACCACCCUGAUGUGCUGACCACCCCAGUGACCACCCUGAUGACCACCCUGAUGACCGAGUGACCACCCCAGUGACCACCCCGAUGACCAAUGGGCGCUGACCACCCUGAUGACCAAUGGCCACCCCAAUGACCACCCCACUGGCCACUGACCCCCCAUGACCACCCCAGUGACCACUGACCAUCUUGAAUGACCACUGACCACCCCCACUGGUCACUGACCACCCCCAGUGACCACCCUGAUGACCACCCCAA
rnacentral:lncRNA from 1 species